CGAUCCGUGCCAGUGCUUUGCCUAGCUCCUCGGUCUGGUCCCUGAGCAUGUGUUUGUUGCUGCCAUCUAGGACGAAGGAAAUAGUGGCUGGUCUCAGACGAUCCCGCAGGUGAAGAAGCCGGAUGUGGAGGUCCUGGGCUGGCGUGGUUACACAUGGUCUGCGGUUGUAAGGCUGGUUGGACAUACUGCCAAACAACGUUGAAGGCGGCUUAUGGACCUGAGCCCUAGGACCAUGCCCCAGGACUACCUGACAUGAUGACUCCUUGCUGUCCCCAGUCCACCUCACCGUGCUGCUGCUCCAGUUUCAACUGUUCUGCCUUAUUAUUAUUCGACCAUGCUGGUCAUUUAUGAACAUUUGAACAUCUUGGCCAUGUUCUGAUAUAAUCUCCACCCGGCACAGCCAGAAGAGGACUGGCCACCCACAUAGCCUGGUUCCUCUCUAGGUUUCUUCCUAGGUUUUGGCCUUUCUAGGGAGUUUUUCCUAGCCACCGUGCUUCUACACCUGCAUUGCUUGCUGUUUGGGGUUUUAGGCUGGGUUUCUGUACAGCACUUUGAGAUAUCAGCUGAUGUACGAAGGGCUAUAUAAAUAAAUUUGAUUUGAGCAGAGGACCGACCUCACAUUAUCUGAUGUACAGUACACAUUAUUUUAAUUUCACCUUUAUUUAACCAGGCAAGUCAGUUAAGAACAAAUUCUUAUUUUCAAUGACGGCCUAGGAACAGUGGGUUAACUGCCUGUUCAGGGGCAGAACGACAGAUUUGUACCUUGUCAGCUCGGGGAUUAGAACUCACAACCUUCCAGUUACUAGUCCAACGCUCUAACCACUAGGCUACGCUGCCGCCUCUACACUCUAACCACUAGGCUACGCUGCCGCCCCAACUACACAUGUCAUUUAUCAGCCAUUCUUAUCCACUUACAAGAGGAAUUAUGAUAAAAUACAGUGUGUCACCUAGUCAUCUCAGGGAUUUGUAUCAGCAACCUUCCAGGUACUGGCCCAAUGCUCUUAACUACUAGGACACACACACAACACAACAAUCAGAUCGAUUAUAAUUUCUCUAAUAUAUAAGAAUCCUCUGACUCGGUAUCUCCAUGAUAACUUCAGAUAUACUGUAACAGUUUCUACUGAGACACCUGAUGAAAGACAAACACCUGCUGCCUCCACAUUGACUCUGUACCGGUACCCCUGUAUAUAGCCUCCACAUUGACUCUGUACCGGUACCCCUGUAUAUAGCCUCCACAUUGACUCUGUACCGGUACCCCCUGUAUAUAGCCUCCACAUUGA